GCGAUGGGUCCAUGGACCAGGUGCUGUUGGCGCUGUGACGUCAUACUGAGCAGCACAGCGCCAUACACAGAAACAGUGACAUCCAGCAUUUAUACAGAAAGAUUUCAAUCCUCUUUUACUCCUGUUAGUCAUUCAGGAUGAUAAUGGGAGACAUGCACCACUACCGCAGUGUGCUGGAGAAAAGGUGUGGACUUUCAGAUGUAAAUACAAUAAAGGGAAAAUAGAAAUGAGAAGAGAACAAAGUUGUCUGUCAACAUGACUUCUAUGACAGAUUUUCUUGCUGUUCAGCAACGAUUCUAAUUCAAUUGCUGGCUGCUGUGAAGGAGAUGAGAUGCCAGAAGCAGAAGCGCUGCAAACCAGAACAAAAAAUAAUUACUAGUAGAAAUGUGCUGCAAAUAAUUCCCUUGAAAAUACAGUUGCAUUGUUCUUCUA